CCCUCAGGCCUUUGAGCAGGGCAACACCAGCUCCAGUAGGCCUCAGACACCAGUGGCCACAGCAACAAGAAGGCCAGAGGGCACCUAUGCAGGGACCUUGUAAGUGGCCGGCAAGGCCAGCUCACAGGAACCCAGUACUAAAGCUGCUUGCAUGCGUUACUAAUACAAACAAAUGUGAUCAAGCCACUUACCUACUGAACUGCUACUGCUGCCUGACAAAAAUGUGAUUUUUAUUCUGCCUGUAUUUAAAAUGGAUGAAGGAAACAAAUGCAUUCAUUAUACUGUAAACAUUUAGGCCGCUGGCCACUCUCUGGGACAAAGGUCCCAGGGCAACUUUUUGAUAUUCCCCAGCUCAGUCUCCCGUGGUAGUGUUCUCUCUCCCUUCUUGGGGAGACAGAAGAGGGCACCGGGUCCCUGAUGUCCUGCCCUGACCCUGCCUCAUCCACCCUUCUUAUUCCCCUGCUCUGAAAGCAGAAGCUGGGGCAGCAGUGGCCUGGGGCUGGAGGGGCAGACACGACACUCCAUUCUUAACCAUAAGGACCCCACUGGGACAGUGGGGGGAAUGCUGGGCCCCCAGAGGCCAGACUUCUCUUGUUUUCAUUCCUCCGAAGAAGCUGCCUGCGUGCAUGUAUGUAUGCGUGUGUGUGUGUGUGUGUGUGCGUGUGUGUGUGUGUGUGUGUGUGUGUGUGUGUGUGUGUGUGUGCAUGUGUGUGUAUGAGUAUGUACGCACACACACAUGAGUGAGAGAGACAGAGAGAGAGAAAGAGAAAGAGGGGGGGCAGGAAGACCAGUGAUGGCCCUGCAGUAGCUGUGGCUGGUCAUCUGGGGGUGGGGGAAAGAUGAGGUGUUCCCCCCUCCAUACCUGUGUCCUCACUCUGCUCCACCCAGACCCCCAGCGGCUGGCCUGCUGAUCCCCCCAGGGUCUCUCUGCCCCUGGCCAUGGCUGUCCUCACCACCCUCUGCCUCUCCAGCCACUCUGGGAUUUUGCUUGUUUGCUGUUUUUGUUUAGUUCAGAUCUAUUUUGUUUGUGGUUUGGAAACUUUCAGACCGAACAG
rnacentral:lncRNA from 1 species